rnacentral:lncRNA from 1 species
UAUUGUAUUAUACAUACGAAAAUUUCAAAAAAUGUGCAUAAGUUUUGUGAGCAAAACAUUUUGAAGUGCUUCACAUAUAUAGGCAAAUACAUUGACAACAUGUUGAAAGCAGAAGACGAGACAAAUGUCAUUAAGAAUCAAACAAAACACAAACAAGCGCAGACUCUAGCCAAACUCCACGAAAGCAAACAGUUCGCCACGCAUCCACCAGCGCUACUCCUACUCGAGGCCGUAGUNN